UUAGAUACCCUAUUAUUUUAAAUGUAAUUUUUUGACCAAAUGAUUAAUAGCUAUGUUCUUUAAAGUUAAAUAUUUUGGCGGUAUUUUAGUCUUUUCAGAGGAACCUGUUCUAUAAUUGAUAAUCCACGAUUUUGUGUACUUAAAUUAGAAAUUUAUAUAUCAUCGUUAUUGAGUAUUUUAAAAGAAUAAAAUACUUUAAAGUUAAAAUUUUAAAAUAAAUCAGAUCAAGGUGUAGUUUAUAUUUAAGAAGAGAUGGGUUACAAUAUAAUAAAAAUUGGAAAAAAUAUUUGAAUAUAUGAUUGAAAUUGGAUUUGAAAGUAAUUAAAUUUAA
rnacentral:rRNA from 1 species